ensembl:misc_RNA Y_RNA Y RNA
AUUUGGUCCAAGUGCCGAGGUGUUUACAACUAAUUGAUCUUAACCAUUUACAGAUUUCUUUGUUCCUUCUCCACCACCACUACUUCACUUGACUAGCCUUGA